AAUCGACGGCCGCGCCGCCAUCCAAUCUGGCCGCAGCUCCCCAUCGCCUCUCUUCCAAGCAUCUCUCGUCCGUGCGCCGCCGAUGGGAGGCCUGCCGUCAGCAGCAUCGGCCGCCGCUCCGACGGAUCGCCUACUACGGCCUCUUCGUGCUCUCCCUCCUCGCCUCAUGGGUGCUCCGCGAGGUCGCCGCGUCCCUCCUCCAGUACCAUCCCAUGUUUCUUACAAGUAACUUCUCUAAUAAAUUAUGAAGCUGAUGGUUGUUGAGUUUGCUGAUCACUGUUGCAAUAUGGAGAAACUGCUUUUACUUGCUCAUCAACUCGAUGUAUCUAGUUUUGGUAGUAAUACGGGAGUUUAUCAGACUUUCCAUUCGGAGUAGCACACUCUAAUAGAAUUGCUAAAUUAUUUCAGCAUGUAAUACUGAACUUGGUAUAUACUCUGUUCGUCCAUGGAUUUUCUGGUCCAGAAUUAUCAAUGUUUUGUGAUCUUA